GAGCCUACAGAGGCAGGCAGGCCUCCUUGAGCUGUGGUGGGCUCCGCCCAGUUGGAGCUUCCUGGCUGCUUUGUUUACCUAAUCAAGCCUGGGCAAUGGCGGGCGCCCCUCCCCCCGCCUCGCUGCCGCCUUGCAGUUUGAUCUCAGACUGCUGUGCUAGCAAUCAGCGAGACUCCGUGGGCGUAGGACCCUCCGAGCCAGAGAUGGGAUCUUACUACAUUGCCCAGGCUGAAGUGCAGUGGCUAUUAACAGCUGUAAUCAUAAUGCAUUGCAGCUUUGAAUUCCUGGGCUUGAGCGACCUCCCCACCUUAGCCUCCUGAGUAGCUGAGACUACAGAUGUGCCUUGCUUCUCCUUCAUUUUCUGCCAUGACUGUAAGUUCCCUGAGGCCUUCCCAUCCAUGUGGAACUGCAUUCUAAUAUAUGCAUUCUUCAUAACAACUGUGUGAAACAUAUUAAUAUCCUCAUUGUUAACGAUGAAGAAACUAAAUCUCAGGAAGAAAAACUAAGUGAAGACAAAAGAAGGAUUUGAACUGAGGUUUGUCAGACUCUCGGGACCAUGCUGUUGAAACCACUAAACCACGCUGCCUCUGGGUCACUUGAUUAUUCUGGGAGAUUCUGGGAGUCUUUUCUCCAACACUCCAGUGGCAUCUGACUAUGUGAGCUGAUAAGAUCUAUAGAUCUUUGCUGAACCUGAUUCUGGAAGGUACAACAAUUUCGGCCAUCUUCCUAAUCAAUACUGUGAGAUGGGACCAAAUUGAUUGUGUGGUACAUGAAGCACAGCCCAGGAAAAGCUGAUGAGACCUAGACACCAUUAUAUAUUUUGCCUGACUUAUUAACUUACUCUGUGUCAAAAUUGAGUCCGUUUUUGAUAAAAAUACAGUACUGAGGAACUGUUUCUUUCCUCCUUCUCCAUGUCCUUGUCUCUUCUUGGUUAACAAACCUGACUAGCAAUUGUUUUUCUUUUUUCUUUUUUUGCAGUGUUUGUGAAGAUUUUCUAACCUGGUAUCACACGG
rnacentral:lncRNA from 10 species